CAGAGACCUAAUAGCGCACAAGUAGAGUGAUCGAAAGAUGAAAAGCACUUUGGAAAGAGAGUCAAACAGUAAGUGAAAUAGUGAAAGGGAAGCGCUUGCAACCAGACUUGCCCACGGGUGAUCAACCGGUAUUCUUAGCGUUGCACUGGCCCGUGAUCAGGCCAGCAUUGGUUCGGGCGGCUGGAUAAAGUCCAAAGGAAUGUAGGUCCUCUAGGGGAGUGAUAUAGCCAGAGGGACCAAGCAGACCGCCCGGACCGAAGACCGCGCUUCGGUUAGGAUGCUGGCGUAAUGGUGGUAAGCGACCCGUCUUGAAACACGGACCAAGGAGUCUAACAUCUAUGCGAGUGUUUGGGUGUCAAACCCAUGAUCGUAAUGAAAGUGAACGGAGGUGGGAACCCUUCAGGGCGCACCAUCGACCGAUCGUGAGGUCUUCGGAUGGAUUUGAGUAAGAGCAUAGCUGUUGGGACCCGAAAGAUGGUGAACUAUGCCUGAAUAGGGUGAAGCCAGAGGAAACUCUGGUGGAGGCUUGCAGCGGUUCUGACGUGCAAAUCGAUCGUCAAAUUUGGGUAUAGGGGCGAAAGACUAAUCGAACCAUUUGCUACUAGAUGGCAUACGGGCCUGGGUGCCCCGGUAGUCCCCGCAGGACGGGGGUGCCAUUGUCGGUCUGUCCGAGAACGCAUUAGGCCUACCCACACGAGCCUCGAGCUCAUCCCCAGUCUAAUCGCGGAGGCCGUGACCGUGGAGCACGGUUUGGAUAUAGGG
rnacentral:rRNA from 1 species